GACGAACGCUGGCGGCGUGCUUAACACAUGCCAGUCGAACGGAAAGGCUCCAGCUUGCUGGAGUACUCGAGUGGCGAACGGGUGAGUAACACGUGGGUAAUCUGCCCUGCACUCUGGGAUAAGCCUGGGAAACUGGGUCUAAUACUGGAUAUGACCUUUCUCCUUAUGGGGUUUGGUGGAAAGUUUUUCGGUGUAGGAUGAGCCCGCGGCCUAUCAGCUUGUUGGUGGGGUGAUUGCCUACCAAGGCGACGACGGGUAGCCGGCCUGAGAGGGUGAUCGGCCACAUUGGGACUGAGAUACGGCCCAGACUCCUACGGGAGGCAGCAGUGGGGAAUAUUGCACAAUGGGCGGAAGCCUGAUGCAGCGACGCCGCGUGAGGGAUGACGGCCUUCGGGUUGUAAACCUCUUUCAGCAGGGACGAAGCGUAAGUGACGGUACCUGCAGAAGAAGCACCGGCUAACUAUGUG
rnacentral:rRNA from 1 species